AUGAACGCUGGCGGCGUGCCUAAUACAUGCAAGUCGAGCGAACGGACGAGAAGCUUGCUUCUCUGAUGUUAGCGGCGGACGGGUGAGUAACACGUGGAUAACCUACCUAUAAGACUGGGAUAACUUCGGGAAACCGGAGCUAAUACCGGAUAAUAUUUUGAACCGCAUGGUUCAAAAGUGAAAGACGGUCUUGCUGUCACUUAUAGAUGGAUCCGCGCUGCAUUAGCUAGUUGGUAAGGUAACGGCUUACCAAGGCAACGAUGCAUAGCCGACCUGAGAGGGUGAUCGGCCACACUGGAACUGAGACACGGUCCAGACUCCUACGGGAGGCAGCAGUAGGGAAUCUUCCGCAAUGGGCGAAAGCCUGACGGAGCAACGCCGCGUGAGUGAUGAAGGUCUUCGGAUCGUAAAACUCUGUUAUUAGGGAAGAACAUAUGUGUAAGUCACUGUGCACAUCUUGACGGUACCUAAUCAGAAAGCCACGGCUAACUACGU
rnacentral:rRNA from 1 species